GACGAACGCUGGCGGCGUGCUUAACACAUGCAAGUCGAACGAAGUGGCGAACGGGUGAGUACCGCGUAAUCAACCUGCCCUUCAGAGGGGGAUAACAGUUGGAAACGACUGCUAAUACCGCAUACUGCAGGAGGGGCUUGCGUCUGAUUAGGUAGUUGGGGGGGUAACGGCCCACCAAGGCGAUGAUAAGUAGCCUGUCAGGAGGGAUGAACGGCGACAUUGGAACUGAGACACGGCCCAGAUUCAUAAGGGGGGCAGCAGUGGGGAAACAUCCGCGAUGGACGAAAGUAUGACGGGGAAACGCGGCGUGAGUGAUGACGGCCUUCAGGUUGUGAAGCUAUGUAAAUCGGGGCGCGGUACCGGAAUAGAAAGCCACGGCUAAAUACGUGCCAGCAGCCGCGGUAAUAC
rnacentral:rRNA from 1 species